AUUGAACGCUGGCGGCAUGCUUUACACAUGCAAGUCGAACGGUAACAGGCCUUCGGGUGCUGACGAGUGGCGAACGGGUGAGUAAUGCAUCGGAACGUGCCCAGAGGUGGGGGAUAACGCAGCGAAAGCUGUGCUAAUACCGCAUGUGAUCUGAGGAUGAAAGCGGGGGACCAGGCAGCAAUGUUUGGCCUCGCGCUUUUGGAGCGGCCGAUGUCAGAUUAGGUAGUUGGUGGGGUAAAGGCCUACCAAGCCGACGAUCUGUAGCUGGUCUGAGAGGACGACCAGCCACACUGGGACUGAGACACGGCCCAGACUCCUACGGGAGGCAGCAGUGGGGAAUUUUGGACAAUGGGCGCAAGCCUGAUCCAGCAAUGCCGCGUGCGGGAAGAAGGCCUUCGGGUUGUAAACCGCUUUUGUACGGAACGAAAAGGCUCUGGCUAAUACCUGGGGCUGAUGACGGUACCGUAAGAAUAAGCACCGGCUAACUACGUG
rnacentral:rRNA from 1 species